GAGUUUGAUCAUGGCUCAGGACGAACGCUGGCGGUGUGCUUCGCACAUGCAAGUCGAACGAGGUAGCAAUACCUAGUGGCGGACGGGUGAGUAACACGUGGGAAUCUGCCUUUGAGUGGGGGAUAACUGACCGAAAGGUUAGCUAAUACCCCAUACGUCGCAAGAUAAAAGCAGCAAUGCGCUCGAAGAUGAGCCCGCGUCCGAUUAGCUAGUUGGUAGGGUAAGAGCCUACCAAGGCACCGAUCGGUAGCUGGUCUGAGAGGAUGAUCAGCCACAAUGGGACUGAGACACGGCCCAUACUCCUACGGGAGGCAGCAGUGGGGAAUUUUACACAAUGGGGGAAACCCUGAUGUAGCGACACCGCGUGAGCGAAGAAGCCCUUUGGGGUGUAAAGCUCUGUCAGCAGGGACGAAAAAAUGACGGUACCUGCAGAGGAAGCAUCGGCUAACUACGUGCCAGCCGCCGCCGUAAG
rnacentral:rRNA from 1 species